AACGAACGCUGGCGGCAGGCUUAACACAUGCAAGUCGAACGAGAUCUUCGGAUCUAGUGGCAGACGGGUGAGGAACACGUGGGAACAUCCCUUUCAGUUCGGAAUAACGUUGGGAAACUAACGCUAAUACCGGAUACGUCCUUAGGGAGAAAGAUUUAUCGCUGAAAGAUUGGCCCGCGUCUGAUUAGCUAGUUGGUGAGGUAACGGCUCACCAAGGCUACGAUCAGUAGCUGAUCUGAGAGGAUGAUCAGACACAUUGGGACUGAGACACGGCCCAAACUCCUACGGGAGGCAGCAGUGGGGAAUAUUGGACAAUGGGCGCAAGCCUGAUCCAGCCAUGCCGCGUGAGUGAUGAAGGCCUUCGGGUUGUAAAGCUCUUUUGUCCGGGAAGAUAAUGACUGUACCGGAAGAAUAAGCCCCGGCAAACUUCGUGCCAGCCGCCGCAGUAA
rnacentral:rRNA from 1 species